rnacentral:rRNA from 1 species
CCUACGGGAGGCAGCAGUGGGGAAUUUUGGACAAUGGGCGAAAGCCUGAUCCAGCAAUGCCGCGUGAGUGAAGAAGGCCUUCGGGUUGUAAAGCUCUUUUGUCAGGGAAGAAACGGUGAGAGCUAAUAUCUCUUGCUAAUGACGGUACCUGAAGAAUAAGCACCGGCUAACUACGUGCCAGCAGCCGCGGUAAUACGUAGGGUGCAAGCGUUAAUCGGAAUUACUGGGCGUAAAGCGUGCGCAGGCGGUUUUGUAAGUCUGAUGUGAAAUCCCCGGGCUCAACCUGGGAAUUGCAUUGGAGACUGCAAGGCUAGAAUCUGGCAGAGGGGGGUAGAAUUCCACGUGUAGCAGUGAAAUGCGUAGAUAUGUGGAGGAACACCGAUGGCGAAGGCAGCCCCCUGGGUCAAGAUUGACGCUCAUGCACGAAAGCGUGGGGAGCAAACAGGAUUAGAUACCCUGGUAGUCCACGCCCUAAACGAUGUCUACUAGUUGUCGGGUCUUAAUUGACUUGGUAACGCAGCUAACGCGUGAAGUAGACCGCCUGGGGAGUACGGUCGCAAGNUUAAAACGUCAAAGGAUUGACGGCUAGAGACGNGCGAGGACGACGACGAGGGAGGAG